AUUUAAAUAGUUUAAUUAAAAUAUUAAUUUGUGGAAUUAGGGAUACUAUGUAAGUUUUAAAUA
rnacentral:tRNA from 1 species